GCUGAUUACGUAAUGCCGCGGUGGCUGAGGCGGUUCCGCUGGCUGCUCUGUGCGCAGCGAGCGAGUCCUGGUGCGGCCAGCUCGGCUCCUACAGCGCCCGACACCCCGGUCCCGACCCCAGCCGCGGCCCGGCCGCCGCCUGAACAUGGACUCCGCAGGCCAAGAUAUCAACCUGAAUUCUCCUAACAAAGGUCUGCUGUCCGACUCCAUGACAGAUGUCCCUGUCGACACCGCGGUGGCCGCCCAGACUCCUGCUGUUGAGGGUCUGACGGAGGCUGAGGAGGAGGAGCUUAGGGCUGAGCUCGCAAAGGUGGAAGAGGAAAUUGUCACUCUGCGCCAGGUCCUGGCAGCCAAGGAGAGGCACUGUGGAGAGCUGAAAAGGAAGCUGGGCCUCUCCGCCUUGGAGGGCCUGAAACAGAACCUGUCCAGGAGCUGGCGUGAUGUGCAGGUCUCUACCGCCUAUAUGAAAACCUCUGAGAAACUUGGCGAGUGGAAUGAGAAAGUGACCCAGUCAGACCUCUACAAGAAGACUCAGGAAACUUUCUCUCAGGCGGGACAGAAGACGUCCGCUGCCCUGUCCACUGUGGGCUCUGCCAUCAGCAGAAAGCUCGGAGAUAUGAGAUGGGACGCCAUCGCCGCUGCACUGUGGGACACCUGCUUUGGCCACCUGAGCCGUGCUGUGGGCCCGUCCGUUCUCCCACUCGUUUAGUCAUUUGCUGUGAAGUCGAGUAAGGACAUCUGACAGCUAUUUGUACCAAAGGUAUUUUAAAGCCCCAGGUCGAGGUCUUCUUAGUUUCCUAUUUUAAAGCUCUCUCUCAGCACUGUCCCAUUUCUGGGGCAACUUUGGAGGCCAGCGAGAGGAGCCCGGGGUCCUUUCCUCCCGGGGCCAGGGGCCCUUCUGUGUGUGGUGGCCAGAGCUCACGCACCCUGCCAGGCCGCGUCUCUGUGUGGGUGAGCUGACGGGUGUGCUGAACGCCAGGCUCAUCCCCUUGGUAACUCCUGCUUCCUUCUCUGCUUCUAACACGCUCCCAAGCAGCAACUCUUCAAUCCGCCAUUCGAUAAGUAUGCCAGCCAUGAGGAAUUCUGCGACCUUUAAGUCCUUUGAAGACCGAGUUGGGACCAUAAAGUCUAAGGUCGUAGGUGGCAGAGAGAAUGGCAGUGACCACCUUCCCUCCCCGACGGGGAGUGAUGACAAGCCUCUGCCCGACCACACGCCCUUCUAAGCCCGUCGCAGCUUUGCCCAGCCUCGGAGCACGUGCAGGCCCACCCG